GUCCACGCCGUAAACGAUGAAUACUAGGUGUAGGGGUUGUCAUGACCUCUGUGCCGCCGCUAACGCAUUAAGUAUUCCGCCUGGGGAGUACGGUCGCAAGAUUAAAACUCAAAGGAAUUGACGGGGGCCCGCACAAGCAGCGGAGCAUGUGGUUUAAUUCGAAGCAACGCGAAGAACCUUACCUAGACUUGACAUCUCCUGCAUUACUCUUAAUCGAGGAAGUCCUUUCGGGGACAGGAUGACAGGUGGUGCAUGGUU
rnacentral:rRNA from 1 species